UGCGGAUUGGAGAAGUGGUCUAUCUCGGCUGCCUCAUAAGCAGAAGAUCAAAGGUUCGAAUCCUUUAUCCGCAA
rnacentral:tRNA from 1 species